rnacentral:tRNA from 3 species
GCGGGUGUAGCUCAGUUGGUAGAGCAUCAGCUUCCCAAGCUGAGGGUCGCGGGUUCGAAGCCCGUCGCCCGCUCCA